ensembl:lncRNA
GGACAUCGGUGUAACUAACUCUUCACCCCGUCUCACUACCGAGUUCUUUCUUCACUCCGCGGAGACACCGGAGGUACUUUCCCCGUGUGGAAGCCGGUGUGGAGUGUGGAGUGGAGUUGGAGGAAGUGUGUGCUCGGUGUGGCUUCUUUAAGGCCGCCUCGCUCGCUCGGAGUGGGACUGGUUUCAAAUGACGCCAUCGCUUUAUUUUAUCAGCAUGACCUCAUCUCUGAGACGGAGUUCAGCGACCAGUGAAACUUUAUUCAACUUCUUUUUAAGCGGGCUGUUUUUCUACUCGGGCGGAUCUGCUCGGGGUUUUUCGGUGUCGGAGCAGAUAAGUGAGACUGGAGGUGAGGAGGGGAAAGGACGCGCUUUCUGAAAUGUGCUCUCUCUUCACUUGUCCUCUUUAACGGUAAGUUCAAGGCGACAUCUCCGUCAUGACAAACUCGGGUCUGUAUCCACACGGCCUGGAACGCGCACGCGCCUGUGUGUGUGUGUGUGUCAGUCUCUGUAUUAGUAGCCACUGUGUGUGUGUGUGUGUGUGUGUGUGUGUGUCAGUCUCUGUAUUAGUAGCCACUGUGUGUGUGUGUGUGUGUGUGUGUGUGUGUGUGUGUCAGUCUUGUAUAGUAGCCACUGUGUGUGUGUGUGUGUGUGUGUCAGUCUCUGUAUUAGUAGCCACUGUGUGUGUGUGUGUGUGUGUGUGUGUCUCAGUCUCUGUAUUAGUAGCCACAUGUGUGUGUGUGUGUGUGUCUCAGUCUCUGUAUUAGUAGCCACUGUGUGUGUGUGUGUGUGUGUGUGUGUGUGUGUGUCAUCUCUGUAUUAGUAGCCACUGUGUGUGUGUGUGUCUCUCUCUCUCUCUCUCCUCUCUCUCCCUCUGUGUCUCUGUGUGUGUGUCUCUCUCUCUGUGUCUCUGUAUUAGUAACCUGUCUCUCUCUCUCUCUCUCUCUCUCUCUCUCUCUCUCUCUCUCUCUGUGUCUCUGUGUGUGUCUCUCUCCCUCUGUGUCUCUCUCUGUGUGUGUCUCUCUCUGUGUCUCUGUGUGUCUCUCUCUGUGUGUGUCUCUCUCUGUGUGUGUCUCUCUCUGUGUCUCUGUAUUAGUAACCUGUGUCUCUCUCUCUCUCUCUCUGUCUCUCUGUGUCUGUGUGUUGUGUCUCUCUCUCUGUGUCUCUCUCUCCCUCUGUGUCUCUCUCUCUCUCUCUCUCUCUCAGUGUCUCUGUGUGCCUCUCUGUGUGUGUGUCUCUCUCUGUGUCUCUGUAAUAGUAACCUGUGUCUGUCUCUCUCUCUCUCUCUCUCUCUCUCUCUCUCUCUCUCUGUGUCUCUCUCUCCCUCUGUCUCUCUCUCUGUGUCUCUCUGUCUCUCUCUCUGUGUCUCUCUUUCUCCCUCUGUGUCUCUCUCUCUCUCUGUGUCUCUCUCUCUGUGUCUCUCUCUGUGUCUCUCUCUCUCUCUGUGUCUCUCUGUCUCUCUCUCUCUGUGUCUCUCUCUGUCUCUCUCUCUCCCUCUGUGUCUCUCUGUGUAUCUCUCUCUCUCUGUGUCUUCUGUCUCUCUCUCUCUGUGUGUCUCUUUGUGUGUGUCUCUCUCUCUGUGUCUCUCUGUGUGUGUCUAGCUCUCUGUCUCUCUGUGUCUCUCUCUCUUUGUCUCUCUCUCUGUGUGUCUCUCCUGUGUCUCUGGUGUCUCUCUCUGUGUCUCUGUGUGUCUCUCUCUCUGUGUGUCUCUCUCUGUGUCUCUGUGUGUCUCUCUCUUGUCUCUCUGUCUCUCUCUGUGUCUCUCUCUGUGUCUCUCUCUGUGUCUCUAUGUGUGUCUCUCUCUCUGUCUCUGUGUGUCUCUCUGGUCUCUCUCUCUUUGUGUCUCUGUGUGUGUGUCUCUCGCUCUCUCUCUCUGUGUCUCUGUGUGUGUCUCUGUAUAGUAACCUGUGUGUGUGUAUUA